UACGAAGGGGGCUAGCGUUGUUCGGAAUUAUUGGGCGUAAAGCGCGCGCAGGCGGUCCUUUAAGUCUGAUGUGAAAGCCCACGGCUCAACCGUGGAGGGUCAUUGGAAACUGGGGGACUUGAGUGCAGAAGAGGAGAGUGGAAUUCCUGGUGUAGCGGUGAAAUGCGUAGAUAUCAGGAGGAACACCUGCGGUGUAGACGGCUUUCUGGACCAUUGCUGACGCUGAGACACGAAAGCGUGGGUAGCAAACAGG
rnacentral:rRNA from 1 species